UUCCACCACACGCGUCCCAUAACCAUUCAUUUUUCAUUCAUUUUUCAUUCAUUUUUCUUUCCUGUUUGUCUUUUACCACCACGUGCCAACCAUUCAUUCGAAUUUUUGAUCAAUAGGUAUACCCAUCACAUAUUUUUUCUCUUCGUCUUCACUGUUUCUUUUCCUUUUUCGUUUUCUUGCUUCUCUUCCUCCCUACAACUUCCAUCUUCUCCGUUUCUUUCGCUUUCUUUUUUGUUAUUUUUUCUUCUUCUCCAUUCUUUCUAUUUCUCUCGUGCGUUCUUCAUCACUCUCACCAUUCCUGAGUUUGAGGAACAAACUUCUUCCCCUAGAAAAAUUACCAAAAUCCAAGAACAACAGCAACCAACGCCCCUCAAAUCGCAUCUUUCAACAAGAUAUGAUGGAUCCCUACUACAUGAAUUCGAGUGA